AUUGAACGCUGGCGGCAGGCCUAACACAUGCAAGUCGAACGGCAGCACAGAAGAGCUUGCUCUUUGGGUGGCGAGUGGCGGACGGGUGAGUAAUGUCUGGGAAACUGCCCGAUGGAGGGGGAUAACUACUGGAAACGGUAGCUAAUACCGCAUAACGUCGCGAGACCAAAGUGGGGGACCUUCGGGCCUCACACCAUCGGAUGUGCCCAGAUGGGAUUAGCUAGUAGGUAGGGUAAUGGCUCACCUAGGCGACGAUCCCUAGCUGGUCUGAGAGGAUGACCAGCCACACGGGAACUGAGACACGGUCCAGACUCCUACGGGAGGCAGCAGUGGGGAAUAUUGCACAAUGGGCGCAAGCCUGAUGCAGCCAUGCCGCGUGUAUGAAGAAGGCCUUCGGGUUGUAAAGUACUUUCAGCGGGGAGGAAGGCGGUGAGGUUAAUAACCUUGCCGAUUGACGUUACCCGCAGAAGAAGCACCGGCUAACUCCGUGCCAGCCGCCGCAGUAA
rnacentral:rRNA from 1 species